AGGCUAUUUAUAGUACCCGUCUUGAAACACGGAUUAGGGAGUUUAUCUGUAGUGCGAGUCUUUGCACGUUAACUGUAAAGGCGUAGAGAAAGCAACUGGCGUUUGCAUGGCUACUGAGCAUUACUGAUAGGACCCGAAAGGUGGUGAACUUUGCCUGCACAGGUUGAAGUCAGGGGAAACUCUGAUGGAGGACCGUACGGGUUAUUGAUGUGCAAAUCAUUUUUCUGAUGUAGGUAAAGGUGCGAAAGACUCAUCGAACCACCUAAUAGCUGGUUUCCUCCGAAGUUUCCCUCAGGAUAGCUGUAAUGCAUUUAGUUAAGGGGAGUAGAGAUAUGGGUAGAGGUGCAGGGAGCCUUCGGGUUCUCAACUUAUUUCCAAACUUCGAACCUCCUUGUUAGGCAUUUACCUAACUGGAAAUGCUUAAAUGAAUUAGCGUUACAAGUGGGCUCUGACCGGUAAGCGGUCAUGGCGAAAUGGGAUGAACCAUACGUCUGAAUAAGGUGCCGAAAUGUACUAUCACUGAUACCAUAAAGGGAGUCCAUGUAUUUAGACAGCAGGUCGGUGCCCCUAAAAGCAGGUAUCCGCUAAAGAGUGUGUUAAAACUCACCUGCCGAAUACUAGGGCCCCGAAAAUGAAUGGCGCAUAUAGUACUACCGAUCUCAGACAUCAGUUCUAUUGAACUGAGAGUAGGGGGAUGUGGACAUUUUUGUGAAGGUGCAAUGUGAGUUGGACUGGAAGAAUGUCUAUUACAGAUCCUAAUUGAAGUAGCGAUUAUCCAGGCUUGUAUCCUGGGGGCUGAUGAGGAGUAGGGUUUCUGGACAACUUAAACAGAUCCAGAGUUAGUCGAUCCUAAUCUCAAUAAUGGGAGAAAGGGAGUACAGUUGAUAUUCUGUAACUGACAACAGUCCGCGGCAACGCAU
rnacentral:ncRNA from 1 species